rnacentral:misc_RNA from 1 species
GAUGAAGAACGUAGCGAAAUGCGAUAAGUAAUGUGAAUUGCAGAAUUCAGUGAAUCAUCGAAUCUUUGAACGCACAUUGCGCCCAUUAGUAUUCUAGUGGGCAUGCCUGUUCGAGCGUCAUUACAACCCUUAAGCCUAGCUUAGUGUUGGGAAUCUGCUGUAUUGCAGUUCCUCAAAUACAACGGCGGAUCUGUAACAUCCUCUGAGCGUUGUAAAUUUUUAUCUCGCUUUUGUUAGGUGUUGCAGCUCUCAGCCGCUAAACCCCCCAAUUUUUGUGGUUGACCUCGGAUCAGGUAGGAAUACCCGCUGAACUUAAGCAUAUCAAUAAGCGGAGGA